rnacentral:rRNA from 1 species
GACGAACGCUGGCGGCGUGCUUAACACAUGCAAGUCGAACGGUGAAGGGGUCUGCUUUUGUGGGCCCUGGAUGAGUGGCGCACGGGUGAGUAACACGUGAGUAACCUGCCCCCUUCUUCUGGAUAACCGCAUGAAAGUGUGGCUAAUACGGGAUAUUCUGGGUCUGUCGCAUGAUGGGUCUGGGAAAGAUUGCGCCUUUGGGUGUUUUUGGUUGGAUUGGUUCGCGGCCUUUUGGCUUGUUGGGGGGGUUAUGGGCCUCCCAGGAGGUGGCGGGUAGCCGGUCUGGGGGGGUGGACGGUGACACUGGGACUGAGACACGGCCCAGACUCCUACGGGAGGCAGCAGUGGGGAAUAUUGCACAAUGGGCGCAAGCCUGAUGCAGCGACGCCGCGUGAGGGAUGGAGGCCUUCGGGUUGUAAACCUCUUUCGCCAGUGAAGCAGGCCUGCUCCUUGUGGGUGGGUUGACGGUAGCUGGAUAAGAAGCGCCGGCUAACUACGUG